rnacentral:rRNA from 1 species
CUCCGGCCAGGGCCUUAAACAUGCAAGUCGAGCGGUAGCACAGAGAGCUUGCUCUCGGGUGACGAGCGGCGGACGGGUGAGUAAUGUCUGGGAAACUGCCUGAUGGAGGGGGAUAACUACUGGAAACGGUAGCUAAUACCGCAUAACGUCGCAAGACCAAAGUGGGGGACCUUCGGGCCUCAUGCCAUCAGAUGUGCCCAGAUGGGAUUAGCUAGUAGGUGGGGUAACGGCUCACCUAGGCGACGAUCCCUAGCUGGUCUGAGAGGAUGACCAGCCACACUGGAACUGAGACACGGUCCAGACUCCUACGGGAGGCAGCAGUGGGGAAUAUUGCACAAUGGGCGCAAGCCUGAUGCAGCCAUGCCGCGUGUGUGAAGAAGGCCUUCGGGUUGUAAAGCACUUUCAGCGGGGAGGAAGGCGUUGAGGUUAAUAACCUUGUCGAUUGACGUUACCCGCAGAAGAAGCACCGGCUAACUCCGUGCCAGCAGCCGCGGUAAUACGGAGGGUGCAAGCGUUAAUCGGAAUUACUGGGCGUAAAGCGCACGCAGGCGGUCUGUCAAGUCGGAUGUGAAAUCCCCGGGCUCAACCUGGGAACUGCAUUCGAAACUGGCAGGCUAGAGUCUUGUAGAGGGGGGUAGAAUUCCAGGUGUAGCGGUGAAAUGCGUAGAGAUCUGGAGGAAUACCGGUGGCGAAGGCGGCCCCCUGGACAAAGACUGACGCUCAGGUGCGAAAGCGUGGGGAGCAAACAGGAUUAGAUACCCUGGUAGUCCACGCCGUAAACGAUGUCGAUUUGGAGGUUGUGCCCUUGAGGCGUGGCUUCCGGAGCUAACGCGUUAAAUCGACCGCCUGGGGAGUACGGCCGCAAGGUUAAAACUCAAAUGAAUUUGACGGGGGGCCCGCACAAGCGGUGGAGCAUGUGGUUUAAUUCGGAUGCAACGCGAAGAAACCUUACCUGGUCUUGACAUCCACAGAACUUUUCAGAGAUGGAUUGGUGCCUUUCGGGAACUGAUGAGACAAGGUGGCUGCAUGGCUGUACGUCAGCUCGUGUUGUGAAAUGUUGAGGUUAGUUCCCGCAACCGAGCGCAACCCUAAUCCCUUUGGUGCAGCGUUUCGGGCGGAACUCAAGGAACUGGCAAGUGACUAACGUGGAAGCGAGGUUGGAAAUGACGUUCCAAGUUCAAUCUCUACUGUCU